rnacentral:ncRNA from 1 species
AAGAUAUUUUAUUUUAGUAUGAAAAUAAUGGUUUAAAAUUUUAAUUUUAUACAUGCUAUUUUUUGAGUUAUAUUAUAAUAUCUUAAUGAUUUAUAAUUUAUUUUAGCAGUGUUUAAUAUUGUUUAUAUUUUAUUAUUUAAAGAUACAGUUUUUAAUUAUUUUUGACUAGCAAAAAUUGUGCCAGCAGCUGCGGUUACACAAUUAGUCAUUAUCAUUGUUUUAGGGAUAUAUUUAUUGUUUUUGUUUAAUUUUAUUUUGUUAGAUUCUGAAGUGAAAUUUGAAUUUAUAAUUUAUUUAAGUUUGGUUUAUGAUAAUAUAUGAAAUUUAUUUAAUAAAGACUAGGAUUAGAUACCCUAUUAUUGUAAAUUUAAAAUUUAAUCUCUAGUAUUAAUAGUUAAGGUCUUUAAAUUAAAAAAAUUUGACGGUGAUUUAAUCUUUUCAGAGGAACCUGUCCUGUAAUCGAUAUUCCACGAUAAAUUUUACUUUGAUUUUGGUUUGUAUAUCUCUGUUUAUUGAGUGUUUUAUUAGAAUUUAUUCUCUUUUAAUUUUUAUAAAUUUAAUUUCAGGUCAAGGUGCAACUAUAUUAAAGUUUGAGAUGGGUUACAUUUAUUAAAUAAUUUUGGAUUAAGAAUUAUUGAAUCUGUAUUAGUUCUUAUGAAAUUGGAUUUGACUGUAAUAAUCAUUAUAUUUUGAUUAUGAUAUUUGUUCUAGAUUGAGUACACAUCGCCCGUCACUCUCAUUAUUAAAGUGAGAUAAGUCGUAACAAAGUAGGCCUAUCGGAAGAUGGGCCUAGAAUUAU